CCUACGGGAGGCAGCAGUGGGGAAUAUUGGACAAUGGGCGAAAGCCUGAUCCAGCAAUGCCGCGUGAGUGAUGAAGGCCUUAGGGUCGUAAAGCUCUUUUACCAGGGAUGAUAAUGACAGUACCUGGAGAAUAAGCUCC
rnacentral:rRNA from 1 species